GUUAUUUUCUUGAAACCUAAAGAAUUUGGCGGUAUUUUAUUCCGUUCAGAGGAAUCUGCCCCUUAAUCGAUAAUCCGCGUUGGACCUUUCUUAAUUUUUGUUUGUAUACCGCCGUUGUAAUGAAGAUCUUUUUAGGGUAUUUAAUUUUCUAGGUCCUUUAUUUUGGUUUAUUUCAGGUCAAGGUGCAAUUUGUUUUUAAGUGUGAGGUGGGUUACAAUGUGUUGUUGAGUUCUCGGAUUAUUGAUUGGAAUUGUUUAAUAUGAAGUUGGAUUUGGUUGUAAUUUGUUGUAGAUUGUUUGAAUGAUGUUGGUUCUAAAAUAUGUACACAUCGCCCGUCGCU
rnacentral:rRNA from 1 species